AUUGAACGCUGGCGGCAUGCUUUACACAUGCAAGUCGAACGGCAGCGCGGGCUUCGGCCUGGCUGCGAGUGGCGAACGGGUGAGUAAUACAUCGGAACGUGCCCAGUAGUGGUGGAUAGCUCGUCGAGAGCAGGAUUAAUACUGCAUACGACCUGAGGGUGAAAGCGGGGGAUCUUCGGACCUCGCGCUCUUGGGGCGGCCGAUGGCAGAUUUGCUAGUUGGUGGGGUAAAGGCCUACCAAGGCGACGAUCUGUAGCUGGUCUGAGAGGACGACAAGCCACACUGGGACUGAGACACGGCCCAGGCUCCUACGGGAGGCAGCAGUGGGGAAUGUUGGACAAUGGGCGAAAGUCUGAUCCAGCAAUGCCGCGUGUGUGAUGAAGGCCUUCGGGUUGUAAAGCACUCUUGGCGGGAACGAAAAGGACUGUGCCAAUACCACGGUUGGAUGACGGUACCCGCAGAAUAAGCACCGGCUAACUACGUG
rnacentral:rRNA from 1 species